rnacentral:rRNA from 1 species
CCUUGUACACACCGCCCGUCACACCAUGGGAGUUUGUUGCACCAGAAGUAGCUAGUCUAACCUUCGGGGGGACGGUUACCACGGUGUGUAUUACAUGACUGGGGUG